UCUCUUAAGGUAGCCAAAUGCC
rnacentral:siRNA from 1 species